CGAUUUUGCUGCCACCGUGGGGGCAUCCAUUGCUGCCUGCAUUCUAUCCAGCAGCUCUGCGUAGUGCGUUACCUGGACGCACACACACGCACUCGUUUAAAGGACCUUUCAAAGUGCUAACAAUGAGAGAAGUCAAUAAAAAGACGGAAAUCAGCACAAUGGUGCUCAAACACGUGGUUCCUGCCGUUCUGAAACAAGUGUGUAUUUAUUUUUUUUGUGAUAUCUAUGGGAUUCUGACUGUGCAUGUGUGAAGAAAAAGAAGAGUAUUUCGUGUUUGACUGUGUCGAGAGUGGAAAUUAUUUCUCCUGGUCAUUCGAGCUGGCCGUGUGUUGGCAACUGACACUGGGAAGCACGCACUAGACGACAAUGGAACUCCCACUGUGAACCUAUCAUUUCAUGCACCAGCAUUCAGGCUGACGCAGUUUUUAUGCGAACAAUAUGCGUUCACGCAUUCUGCAGGAGUUUUGGAGUAUUUUUGAUUCGCAAACACGCCGUGUUGGCAAAGUAGCUGAUAAGCACAAGCAUUUUGAUGCUUCCAGUUCUAUUUUGAUACUUGCAGGGCUUAAGUGCUCUUGCUUAGGGAUUGGUAUGACUUACGAGCACAACAAGCGGGUAACUACAAUAAUAUAGU